rnacentral:rRNA from 1 species
GAGAGGGCGACCGGCCACACUGGGACUGAGACACGGCCCAGACUCCUACGGGAGGCAGCAGUGGGGAAUAUUGCACAAUGGGCGAAAGCCUGAUGCAGCGACGCCGCGUGAGGGAUGACUGCCUUCGGGUUGUAAACCUCUUUCAGCAGGGACGAAGCGAAAGUGACGGUACCUGCAGAAGAAGCACCGGCCAACUACGUGCCAGCAGCCGCGGUAAUACGUAGGGUGCAAGCGUUGUCCGGAAUUAUUGGGCGUAAAGAGCUCGUAGGCGGCUUGUCGCGUCGGCUGUGAAAACCUGGGGCUCAACCCCGGGCCUGCAGCCGAUACGGGCAAGCUAGAGUUCGGUAGGGGAGACUGGAAUUCCUGGUGUAGCGGUGAAAUGCGCAGAUAUCAGGAGGAACACCGGUGGCGAAGGCGGGUCUCUGGGCCGAAACUGACGCUGAGGAGCGAAAGCGUGGGGAGCGAACAGGAUUAGAUACCCUGGUAGUCCACGCUGUAAACGUUGGGCGCUAGGUGUGGGGGGCCUCUCCGGUUCUCUGUGCCGCAGCUAACGCAUUAAGCGCCCCGCCUGGGGAGUACGG